GCCGAAGUGGUGAAAUAGGUAGACGCAGUGGACUCAAAAUCCACCGAGUGCAAGCUCAUGCCGGUUCGAGUCCGGCCUUCGGCACCA
rnacentral:tRNA from 1 species